rnacentral:rRNA from 1 species
AUUGAACGCUGGCGGCAGGCCUAACACAUGCAAGUCGAGCGGAUGAAGGGAGCUUGCUCCUGGACUCAGCGGCGGACGGGUGAGUACUGCCUAGGAAUUUGCCUGGUAGCGGGGGAUAACGUCCGGAAACGGGCGCUAAUACUGCAUACGUCCUGAGGGAGAAAGUGGGGGAUCUUCGGACUUCACGCUAUCAGAUGAGCCUAGGUCGGAUCAGCUAGUUUGUGGGGUAGAGGCCUACAAAGGCGACGAUCCGUAACUGGUCUGAGAGGAAGACCAGUCACACGGGAACUGAGACACAGUCCAGACUCCUGCGGGAGGAAACAGUAGGGAAUAUUAGACGAUGGACGAAAGCCUGAUCCAGCCAUGCCGCGUGUAUGAAGAAGGUCUUCGGAUGGUAAAGCACUUAAGGUUGGGGGGAAGGACAGUAAGUUAAUACCUUGCUGUUUUGACGUUACCAACAGAAUAAGCACCGGCUAACUUCGUG